AGAAACGGUGGAUUUAGAUAAGGGUUCACUCUUUUGUCUUGCUCUCCUAUCUUCUCCUCUCUCCUAUCUUCUCCUUCUCUCAACCCCCCUCUCCCCUCCCUCUCUUAAUUUUUUGGAAUCCCUAGCCGCCAUGGCUGAGUAAAUCUUAGCAAACCUUUGGGUAAGGGUGGGUUAUGAGCAUCAAGGAACGGAUCUAAGGGUUAUGAGUUAGAACAUAUUUGAUGUGAUAGAUUUCUGUCAGUUUUUUCUUAGGUUUUUAGGUUUUUAGAUUUCAAUUUUUGAUUGUCCCUGCUUGAUGGUUCCUCUACGAUUUGCAGCUUCUUUCUUCCAUCUAUUGUUGUUUUCUAUUUUUUGUUGGUUUUUAUUUCUUCUGAUGUUUCUUGGAUUUGUUUCUUCCCUUUUAUUCCGAAAUUCUUUGGUCUUUCUCCUCUCUCUUGUUUGUUCCUUCUUGUUUCUUAGGUAUGGUAUCCUAUUCUCGGUUCCCGAUUCUUGGUUCUUUUCUAGAUAUGUUUGUUGUGAUUCGUGGCCUUUGUCUCUCUAGACUAAUUGUUCUUGAUUUUGCUCUUAUUAUUAUUCUCAAGCGGUCUCUUUUCUUUUAUCCUUUUCCUAGUUUGUAGAUCUGAUUGUUUGUUUGCAAUCCUUUACUUCCUCUCUCUGGUGGUUUCUUAUCUUUCGCUUUAGUAUAUGGACAAUUUUAAUUUUACUGAUGUCUUUCAAUUUAUUUCUCUUCUGUGCUUUAAUCUCUCAAUUUUUUAAUUUAUCUUUAUGCCUUUUCUGUGGGUGUUCUUGGAUUCAUUUAAAUCUCCAAUUUGUUUUGUUGUUAUAAUCAACAGGAUGUUUCUAAAAAUCUUGUGCUAAGAUGAUAAAAAUGUAUAUCUAUUUUUCUGGUGAUAGGUGUAUUUCUAAAAAGCAUCUUGGUAAAUAUGAUUCUAAAAUGUGGAAGGUGUCUCGUAUCACCAUCAUUCUUGUUUGUUUGCGGUACCUCCAUCUCUGUCUUGUUUCUUUGAGUAUUAGCUCUCUUCACCUGUUUGUUGUUGUAAGUUUGGCGGUUCAUGUUUCCUCUCUAUUGCCUCUCUUUUACUAAGAUCUGGGUGGUCUACCCCUUUUCUUUUUUGGAUGUUUUGUUUCUUUUUUGUUUGUUAUUCCCCAUCCUCUCUUUCAUUUUCUAGUCUUUUGUCUCGGGAUUCUUUGUGCCCGUAAUCUCUGUUCUUAUAUUGAUUACUUGAAUUUCUAUAAAUUCUUUGUCUAUUGCUUAUGUGCUCAUGUUUAGUUUGCACCGGUUUCCUUUGGUGCUACUAGUUUUGUUAUUGGAUUUCUAUUGGAUUUAGUUUUGUGUCUCUUGUGUGUAUGUCUCCAUAGUGCUUUUUUGAAUUAAAUAUAGGUGUCAAAUAGUUUUAAGAGUCUUUUGCUUCUGCUUUUGACUUUGCAUUUUCUUUUUGGGAAUUAAUCAUCACAUCUAUAUUGCUCAUUUCCCUCACAUCUUUACCUUUGCUCCUCUGACCCAACAGAGCCCAAAGGUACGCUAGCCUCAUUUUUCUGCUUUCCUUUAUUUUUUAAUCCGUUUAAUAGUAUCUACUUUACUCUUGCUAAGCCUAGGAACUAUAAUCAUCGGAAUCUGCUUAAAAUUACAAGCUCAGGAGUGUAUUUGUAUCUUGGCUAAACAAGGGCCUUUUUUGUGAACUUAAUCUUCUUUUAAGUACUUUAGCUUUAUUUUAUUUUUAUUUUGAUGGCAACAUUUGAGGUUCAUUAGUGCUUGUUUUUCUUGUUGCUUUAAGGAUACUUUAUUUUCCAUGAUUUCUCCGGUUCCCUUGUAUUUUUCAUGGAGAUGCCUAAAUGCUAGAUAGCUUAGUAGUAUUUAUCAUCUGAACUGUGCUUAGCCCUAAAUUUUGCUUAUAGCGAAUUUCCUGUUAGUGUUAGUUGCAUUUUUAAAUUAUUUCAUGUUUAUUAGCUUUCCCUAAUAUUAUGUAUUGUGUUUGUGUUCGGAUUUUGUGUAAUUUAACCUACCUUUGUGUUUAUUCUUGGAAUAGGAAAAUGAAAACUCCUGUGAAACUAUCCUUUUAAGUGGACUCUUUUUAAGAACUAAGGGUGAGUCCUAAUGGAUAAAGUUACAAAACUAUCCUUACCCUUUAUAUUCUUAUUAUCCUAAAUCAGUUUUCAUUUUUUUCAUUUCAUCUUCUUCUUCUCCACCUCUACCUUACCGGCUCUUCCUCCUCCACCAUUGAAAACUCGUCGAUUAAUUCGUCGUAAUCGUCGAUCCGAAAAUUACGAUUAAUCAUCAAACAUGGAGCCACCUCAUCAUAGGGAUAGUCGUAUGAAAGAAGCAAAUAGAAAACAAAAUGAAUAUAACCCUGGAAUUGCAAAAUUAAUUCAACAAAAAGAGAAGAAAAAAGCGGUUGAAGAAGAAGAAAUCGAAGCCGCUGAAAAAGGAGAAAUAACGGCGAUUGAGAAAGUUGGAAAAUGGAAAGAAGAAAAAUGUUACUCCUCCUUCAAGACCUCCUCGUUUUGGUGAUAAACUCUUGACUGCCACACAUAUAGGGGCAUUAGUUGAUCCGGGAAAGAUCAAGAUCCGUGAACUGAAUAAUUCUCAACCACCACCAAAACUAAAUGAUUCAGAUGAAACUCCAGAUGAAGACCAAUCAAUUUUAUCUGUUAGAAGACAUGAUGAUGAUGUUGAAAGAACUCCAGCUGCUGGAGGAAGUAACAAUGAUGAUGAUGAUGGUGAUCAAGACAUGCCACCUAUUGGAGGAGGUAAUGAUGAUGGUGAUAAAAAUAAUGAUAAAUAUAGAGAAGGUAAAAUUGUUGAAGAAGAAGAAGAAGAACGUGAAGGUGAAGAAGGUGUAGAAAAAACAGGUAAUAAUCAACAAACCCAAGAUACAACUACGACUAAAACUGGAAAGAAGAACAUGGUUAUCACUAAACCAGUUGAUUCUCACAUGCCUCCCUCUCACUUGAAGGUUACACUGGAACCAGGUGAGCCUCCGCAGGGGACCCCAGAAGAUGAUGGAUAUGUUCUUUUUGGAUAAAAUGACUCAUGAGCAUGUGAAAUCCAAAAUACUGUCAUAAGAUCACAAGCAUGUCAUCCGUCUCUUGAGGUGCCAAGCUUCAUGUUCAGUGAUUAAGAAAUGGCCACUUGACAAGGAAUGUGACGAGGUGCAAGCGAUUGUCAAGAACUCCGGGUUAUGGCAUGCGGUGUAGAGUCGAUUGUUGAGUAUGAUAGAGUUACCAUAUCUGCAUUUUGUGAGAGGUUCUACGGAGAGACUGAUACAAUGUUAUUCACAUUCGGUGAGAUGACGAUAACUCCCGAUGAUGCUCAUCAAAUUGUAGGCCUCGAGGUUGAGGGAAAAGCAAUCAGUGAUGGCUACGAUGAUGGUAUUUCUAGGGACAAGAUCUUCGAAUUGACCAAAUAUUUGUUUUGUUGGAAUCAGGUUGAGACAUAGUCUAUGCUUGUGUUGAAGGAUGGUUAUCUAGAAAAGAAUUUUAAUCUGAAGAAGUUAAGGGACACAUUCUCUAGAACCAAGGAAAUCUAUGAUAAGGAAGGAAGGGUGUACUUGGUGCGAAUCAAUGCUACCGCAGUAGCCUAUUUGUUAUAUGUCCUGGGCAAAUUAUCUUCCCCGACAGUUCAGGAAGCUUGGUCGACCGCAAGUAUAUUCAACUAUUGCAUCCCUUAGAUCAGAUGCAUGAGUAUUCUCGGGGUAUUGCGGUGGUCGCCUUCUUGAACAAUAAGUUGACAAGGGAUUCAAGGGCACUCACUGCGCAAGUCAACGGAAAUCUAUGUCUCUUCCAGGUUUGGAUAUAUGAGCACUUCCCUACUUUAGUGAAAGCCAACCCCUAUUUCAAAGUGAAUGAGAAGCUUGCGAUUGAUAAGCCAAUAGGACAAAGAUACCUUUUUAAGGGUGGUCUGGAUAAGGAUAUGUCGUAGCAGCUUAUCAAAACUCGAAUCGCCUUGGAAAAAUUGACUGCAGAUGACGUAAUAUUUGAUCCGUAUCGAGUUGCUAGAAAUGAAGGUUUAAUACAAAGGAGAUAUGAAGUUGCAUUCUAUUACGGUACCUUGUUGUACCCCCAUGGAUUUUCAAUGUACGAUCCACAUCGGGUAAUGCGACAAGUGAGUUACGUCCAAGAAGAACCUCAUACCGCUGAUGAUCCAUUCUUUAAAGUGGUAAGGAAUGACCGCACCAUGUCCCAAAAAAGUAUUGGCGUCCAUUACGCUCCAGCACCAGGUACAUCUCAUUGGAGGGAAAGACAAAAGCAUAAAAUCGAUACAAGUCUUUUGGACGACGUGACCGAAGGUCAUGAAGAUCAUGAGAAUUACAUGCCGUAGUACUUGGGUUGGGCUUGUCCUACUAUGAUUAGGGAACAAACUGCUGAACAAGUGGCUCGUAAGAGGAAGAUGGCAGCGAAAGACCCGGCAACAAGUCUUAAAUACUUUGUAAGUAUUUUAGAGGUUCUCUUACUAUUUUAAGAUUACAUUAUCGAAUCAUUCUAUUAGUUGUUUGUUAUUUAAUUGAAAAUAGAAGGAGUAUUUGAAUACCCUUGUGAAGGUGAUGUGUUGCGCUAGAGAAAUAUGAGAGCCUUUGUCGAUUGAAGAGCAAACCAAGCACAUUGAUGAUGCUAGCAAUGUUGACAAUGAGGAUGAAAUCGAAUUGUUCCAGCAAGCUAAUGCUGAAGUAAAGAGGGAAGCACAAUCCAAGAGGGAAGUACAAGCCAAGAUGAAUGCCGACAAAAAUAGGGCUUGUUCCCAUGGUGGUGGUAGUGGUAGCGGUAGUGGUGGUCGUCGUGAAAAUGCUAAACGGGGCCGUGGUCGUGGUGGUGGUGAUGAAUGAAUGCAUUCCUAAUUUAUUUGUUUAUGUUGUGGUAGACAAAUGUUAAGGUUAAUGGUUGGAAAAAUGUUUUUUUUUAAGGUUUA